UAUAGCACCACGCUAUCCUCGCCAUAUAUUGCAUAUUACAUUUUCUGGGUUUUACUCGCGGGAUUCGUCAUGCCAUCUCGAUGUGUAGCGAUAUGAAUUACUCACAGGAAGACUCGAGACUCUAGGAGUGGUCAAAAAAAAAACUUCUCCUGCAAAGCCACGACAGCUUUGAAAACCUACAACAAUGCAACCUUGGUUUUCCAAAGACGAAGCCAAACAUAAAAAAUUAAGUGGCGGAAACCCUCAACACGAUGAAAAAAGCGUUGCAAGUCAGUUGCCACCCAGUUUCCCAAAAUCAAGAGAGAGAGGGUCGAGUCAUAUGAUGACCGAAGUGAUGCGGUGUCCAGCGAUGACGACUGAAGAGAUCCUAUGAGGCCUGCCAGAUGCUGAAUUUCUUCCGUCUGCGACAUCAGAUGACGAUGAUUUAGGAGAAAUAAAUGUAGCAAAUUUUGAUGACAUGAAAUCAUAAACUAGUCAUAUAUACAGUACACAUUUUUUAAAAGAAAAAUCAAGUUACCUUCAUAUUUUAAUGAUAAUGCAUUAUCUUUGUAUAGAGAACACUUCAUGCUACAGAAAAGAGUAAAUACAUAUUUCCCACUGCCAUUAUCAUUUUUCAGUGUUGCGCUAGUCCGUUGCUAUCCUAACUUUGUGUUGCUUACUAAAAUUAUGCUCUUUGAUGUGUGCCGUUGUGUGCUCGGUAUAACAUGUUGUGUCACAAUCUGACAACGAAAGCUAAUGCUGAUUCAACAUAAACCUGGUAUCAUUUAUUAUUGCGGCCUAUUGAAUAUUUUUUCAGAAUGUAAUAUAAUUACAAUAUAUUAUAUACCAAUAGAAUACAUUAAACAGUCAACAAAAUGUGUCAAUGUUGUUAACAAUUUAUGGUUUUAUUUUUUUAAUGAAAUUCAUGCCCGUCAGUGCU